rnacentral:rRNA from 1 species
GAUGAACGCUGGCGGCGUGCCUAAUACAUGCAAGUCGAGCGAACGGACGAGAAGCUUGCUUCUCUGAUGUUAGCGGCGAACGGGUGAGUAACACGUGGAUAACCUACCUAUAAGACUGGGAUAACUUCGGGAAACCGGAGCUAAUACCGGAUAAUAUUUUGAACCGCAUGGUUCAAAAGUGAAAGACGGUCUUGCUGUCACUUAUAGAUGGAUCCGCGCUGCAUUAGCUAGUUGGUAAGGUAACGGCUUACCAAGGCAACGAUGCAUAGCCGACCUGAGAGGGUGAUCGGCCACACUGGAACUGAGACACGGUCCAGACUCCUACGGGAGGCAGCAGUAGGGAAUCUUCCGCAAUGGGCGAAAGCCUGACGGAGCAACGCCGCGUGAGUGAUGAAGGCCUUCGGAUCGUAAAACUCUGUUAUUAGGGAAGAACAUAUGUGUAAGUAACUGUGCACAUCUUGACGGUACCUAAUCAGAAAGCCACGGCUAACUACGUG